rnacentral:tRNA from 1 species
GGUGCAGUAGCUCAAUCGGACAGAGCGGCUGAGUCCUAGUCAGUUGGUUGAGGGUUCGAGUCCUUCCUGCACUG